rnacentral:tRNA from 1 species
GCCUUCGUGGUGUAAUGGUCAGCACACUCGGCUCGUAUUCGAGAAGUUCAAGGUUCGAGUCUUGGUGAGGGCA